AGAGUUUGAUCAUGGCUCAGAGUGAACGCUGGCGGUAGGCCUAACACAUACAAGUCGAACGGCAGCACAGGGGAGCUUGCUCUCUGGGUGGCGAGUGGCGGACGGGUGAGGAAUACAUCGGAAUCUACUCUGUCGUGGGGGAUAACGUAGGGAAACUUACGCUAAUACCGCAUACGACCUACGGGUGAAAGCAGGGGAUCUUCGGACCUUGCGCGAUUGAAUGAGCCGAUGUCGGAUUAGCUAGUUGGCGGGGUAAAGGCCCACCAAGGCGACGAUCCGUAGCUGGUCUGAGAGGAUGAUCAGCCACACUGGAACUGAGACACGGUCCAGACUCCUACGGGAGGCAGCAGUGGGGAAUAUUGGACAAUGGGCGCAAGCCUGAUCCAGCCAUACCGCGUGGGUGAAGAAGGCCUUCGGGUUGUAAAGCCCUUUUGUUGGGAAAGAAAUCCAGCUGGUUAAUACCCGGUUGGGAUGACGGUACCCAAAGAAUAAGCACCGGCUAACUUCGUGCCAGCAGCCGCGGUAAUACGAAGGGUGCAAGCGUUACUCGGAAUUACUGGGCGUAAAGCGUGCGUAGGUGGUCGUUUAAGUCCGUUGUGAAAGCCCUGGGCUCAACCUGGGAACUGCAGUGGAUACUGGGCGACUAGAGUGUGGUAGAGGGUAGC
rnacentral:rRNA from 1 species